GACGAACGCUGGCGGCGUGCCUAAUACAUGCAAGUAGAACGCACAGUUUAUACCGUAGCUUGCUACACCAUACACUGUGAGUUGCGAACGGGUGAGUAACGCGUAGGUAACCUGCCUGGUAGCGGGGGAUAACUAUUGGAAACGAUAGCUAAUACCGCAUAAUAUUGAUUAUUGCAUGAUAAUUGAUUGAAAGAUGCUAUUGCAUCACUACCAGAUGGACCUGCGUUGUAUUAGCUAGUAGGUGAGGUAACGGCUCACCUAGGCGACGAUACAUAGCCGACCUGAGAGGGUGAUCGGCCACACUGGGACUGAGACACGGCCCAGACUCCUACGGGAGGCAGCAGUAGGGAAUCUUCGGCAAUGGACGAAAGUCUGACCGAGCAACGCCGCGUGAGUGAAGAAGGUUUUCGGAUCGUAAAGCUCUGUUGUAAGAGAAGAACGGGUGUGAGAGUGGAAAGUUCACACUGUGACGGUAUCUGACCAGAAAGGGACGGCUAACUACGUG
rnacentral:rRNA from 1 species